rnacentral:rRNA from 1 species
UGGGGAAUAUUGGACAAUGGGCGCAAGCCUGAUCCAGCAAUGCCGCGUGUGUGAAGAAGGCCUGCGGGUUGUAAAGCACUUUCGGUGGGGAGGAAGGCCUGAUGGUUAAUAGUCAUCAGGAUUGACGUUACCCACAGAAGAAGCACCGGCUAACUCUGUGCCAGCAGCCGCGGUAAUACAGAGGGUGCGAGCGUUAAUCGGAAUUACUGGGCGUAAAGGGCGCGUAGGCGGCGCGGUAAGUCACUUGUGAAAUCUCUGAGCUUAACUCAGAACGGCCAAGUGAUACUGCAGUGCUAGAGUGCAGAAGGGGCAAUCGGAAUUCUUGGUGUAGCGGUGAAAUGCGUAGAUAUCAAGAGGAACACCUGAGGUGAAGACGGGUUGCUGGGCUGACACUGACGCUGAGGCGCGAAAGCCAGGGGAGCAAACGGGAUUAGAUACCCCUGUAGUCCCUGAGCGGGCUGGCAAGGCGCAU